rnacentral:misc_RNA from 1 species
GAUGAAGAACGUAGCGAAAUGCGAUACGUAAUGUGAAUUGCAGAAUUCAGUGAAUCAUCAAAUCUUUGAACGCAUAUUGCGCUCUCUGGUAUUCCGGAGAGCAUGCUUGUUUGAGUAUCAGUAAACACCUCAACUUCCAUAUCUUUUUUGAAAUGGGAGUUGGACUUGAGUGAUCCCAACGCUUUUCCUCACCGAAAAGUGGCGGGUUACUUGAAAUGCAGGUGCAGCUGGACUUUUCUCUGAGCUAUAAGCAUAUCUAUUUAGUCUGCCUAAAAAACAGAUUAUUACCUUUGCUGCAGCUAACAUAAAGGAGAUUAGUUCUUGUGCUGACUGAUGCAGGAUACACAAAGACGGCUUCGGCCGACUUUGUAAACUCGAUCUCAAAUCAAGUAAGACUACCCGCUGAACUUAAGCAUAUCAAUAAGCGGAGGA